rnacentral:rRNA from 1 species
AACGAACGUUAGCGGCGCGCCUAACACAUGCAAGUCGCACGAGAAAGGGCUUCGGCCCCAGUAAAGUGGCGCACGGGUGAGUAACACGUGGGUAAUCUGCCUUCGAGCGGGGGAUAACAUUCCGAAAGGAGUGCUAAUACCGCAUAAGACCACGGCUCCGAAAGGAGCAGCGGUCAAAGCUGGCCUCUAUACAUAAGCUAGCACUUGAGGAUGAGCCCGCGGCGCAUCAGCCAGUUGGUGAGGUAAUGGCUCACCAAGGCGAAGACGCGUAGCUGGUCUGAGAGGAUGAUCAGCAACACUGGAACUGAGACACGGUCCAGACUCCUACGGGAGGCAGCAGUGGGGAAUCUUGCGCAAUGGGCGAAAGCCUGACGCAGCGACGCCGCGUGAGUGUUGAAGGCCUUCGGGUUGUAAAGCUCUGUGGGGAGAGAAGAAUAAGUGCGGGCUAAUACUCCGCAUGAUGACGGUAUCUCCUUAGCAAGCACCGGCUAACUCUGUGCCAGCAGCCGCCUAAGAC